rnacentral:rRNA from 1 species
GACGAACGCUGGCGGCGUGCUUAACACAUGCAAGUCGAGCGGUAAGGCCCUUUCGGGGGUACACGAGCGGCGAACGGGUGAGUAACACGUGGGUGACCUGCCCUCAGCUCUGGGAUAAGCCUGGGAAACCGGGUCUAAUACCGGAUAUGACUCCAUGACGCAUGUUGUGGGGUGGAAAGCCUUGUGCGGCUGAGGAUGGGCCCGCGGCCUAUCAGCUUGUUGGUGGGGUGAUGGCCUACCAAGGCGACGACGGGUAGCCGGCCUGAGAGGGCGACCGGCCACACUGGGACUGAGACACGGCCCAGACUCCUACGGGAGGCAGCAGUCGGGAAUAUUGGACAAUGGGCGAAAGCCUGAUCCAGCCAUGCCGCGUGAGUGAUGAAGGCC